GGAGCAGGUGUCUUCAUUGGAUUUGAACACAUAAUUGAUUAUCAGCAAAGGAGAGAAAUCAGAGGCACUUGAACAAGUUGAAGUGGACAGGAAAACAGUGAAGAGAGAAGAAAGGAGUAUAGUCAACCUACAAACCCAAGCCAAAGAUGCACAGAAUUACGCAGUGUUGGCAUUGCCGAUGCUGUGGGUGCCCCCCUACUUCAGGCCAUGGGUUUGAUUUUGAUGCCUAUCCUUCUGCAGAUGAC